CAGCCGCCGCGGGAAUACGGAGGGAGCUAGCGUUGUUCGGAAUCACUGGGCGUAAAGGGUGCGUAGGCGGGUCUUUAAGUCAGGGGUGAAAUCCUGGAGCUCAACUCCAGAACUGCCUUUGAUACUGAAGAUCUUGAGUAUGGGAGAGGUGAGUGGAACUGCGAGUGUAGAGGUGAAAUUCGUAGAUAUUCGCAAGAACACCAGUGGCGAAGGCGGCUCACUGGCCCAUAACUGACGCUGAGGCACGAAAGCGUGGGGAGCAAACAGGAUUAGAUACCCCCGUAGUCCCUGUCUCUUAUAC
rnacentral:rRNA from 1 species